CUGGAAUUCCUGUUGAAUUUACUCUAGGGAGCUCUUAAAAAUUCCAAAGUACUGAGUAAAGAAGGAAGCUUAGAAUAAUCCAUAUGGUCAUUUCCUGUGAAAUAAGGAAAAGAAGGAGAUGAGGAGAAGAACUCAUUUCCUCUGAGAAAGAAGGAGGAGGAGAAGAAGAAUAAAGAAGGAGAGAGAAGGGUGAGUCUAUUGAAACUUUUCAAAAUGAAACAUUGUCCUGGUUCAACCCUCCUGACCAGAAGGUUAUAUACACCAUUUCCAGUUUCCAGUCUGAAAACAAAGAACCUUUGAAACGUAGGACAAUUGUGAUUAACAAUAUAAAGACAUAAGCAUGAUUGGGUUGGACUGGGUGAUUUCAUCUUCAAGGCUGUUUUCUAGAAGGUCCUGGAAUUUACAUAAAUUGGCCCAUGGAACUCAGCCACUCUAUCAUGUCAUCACCAUGAUGUCACAAGGAAUCCUAAGGCCCCGAGGGCUCCUUAAUGAACAAAGCGAAGUUGUUUAACUUUCCAACUAAAUUUGGUCAGCGCAUCCCCUUCCUGCCAGGUGUGUGGACCUUGAGAAACUGGACGCAGGCUGUAAAUCCAGCACCUAUCGCAGCACUCAAUACGCAGUUUUGGAAAAGAAUGAACUAAAUCCAUGGUGUCCUAUCCAAAGGAAGGAUUCAGAACUCUAGGAGAUCACCUGUGUGGAUGUCACAGUGCUAGAAUGGAGUCCUCACUUCUUUUCCAGAAACAUCCGGCUUGUACCCUCAAGCAGCCCCGGGAUCUCCUCUCUCACUGGGUAAGAGCUGAACAUGAGCCUUGGAGAAGAAGCCAGCCAGGCCUUGAACGUUCACAACGGCGUGCCAGUCUGCUUCCUGCCUGCCUAAACUUUAAACCAUGCCAGAAACACUAUCUGCUCCAUUCCUGAGCACACCUUGAAGACAAGCUUGUAGGUGCUGGAGUCGGAGGAAACGUAGAGAGCAUCUCGUUAUACUUCAAGGAGGUGAAGGAACGUGGCGCAGAGGAACCCUCAUUCUGCAAGAUGUUAUCAAUUGGUGUUUGUGGCGAAAACUAGCUGUUCCCAAGACACGGUUCUGUUUCCUCCUGGGCAUAGGUGGGUCUCCAGAGCCACAGAGAGGAAGGAGCUAAAAAGGAAGCUGCUUUUCAGCAUGCAGCCGCCUGGGCGCUCUGCUUCUAGUCCCCGCUAACUUUAUUAAGAUAUCAGAGUCGGAGCAGGUAGGUGGCUGCAGGGGAAACCGUGAGUGCGCAAAAAGAUGGGGGGGGGGGGAGGCAAGCACUUAAUAAAAGAUAUUUCUUUUCCCUUUUUUAAUCUAAGUCUGGCAGGAACACCGUUAAAAGGUGAUUGAGGGUUGGUGAUUUCUUUCCUUCUUUCUUUUUCUUUUUUUUUUUUUUAAAGAAAAAGCACUUUUUCCUUCUAAAGAGGAAAGAAAGAUGCCCAUUUUCCCCAAUUCACUUAGUGCACAGUGUUUUCCUCUAGGUAUUCACCCAAUUAACUGGUCAGACAGCCAGAAUUUGAUACAGGGAAUAAACAAUUCUUCAAAGAGAAGCCACUCAGCUCUUUUCUUUGAGGACCUCCCUCCCCCCAAAUAUGACGCGCCCUCCCACCCCACCCCACCCCCUUUGCUUUUCUUCCCCCUUGUUCCCUAUAAUCCCAGGUCUGGCCUGGAUGUCACAGCUUCAGAACUGAGAACUGUCAUCUGCGGUCUGCCACUCUCCCCACCCUGCCAGGAAUGACACUUUAGUCCUGUGUUAAUUGCCCUACUGCAGCUCGGCUAUCAGCCAGGGCCUGUCUCAGAUUUACUGAUUGCAGACGUGAGUGGAGUGAGUGAGCAAGCAUGCCGGGGUCGGGGCUCAGAGGGACCAAGUUCAAGGGCACCGAAUGGUACAGACGCAUAAACAAGGGAAUGGUAUGUAAGCAAUAAAGACAUAAAGGUUAGGAUCGGGGCUAGCAGUACAAUAAGCAGCUGUGAUAACCCAGUUUGUUUAUAGAUAAAGAAUUUACAGUAAAAUCCUCAACUUGCAGCCUACAUUUGUUAACACUUUAAGAGAUGUAUAAUUUCUUUACAUCCUUGCUCGUUCCAUCUUCUGUGCACUCUGCAAACAUCUGUGGCCAUCUCAGGGAUUUUUCUCCCCUUUUCUUUCCAAUAUUAGAAGUGUACAGUCAUCACAACAGCUAGAAAUAGAUGCCGAACCCAAAAUCUCAGUGUUUGGAAGCAGCAGCAGCAGCUACAAAUUCCAAAAGACAGCGACUUCUACUUGCUACCACUCUGGCGUCCCAUUAAAAAAAUCUGUAUUUUUCAAGCUGCGAAAUGUUCUUUUGCACUCCAUUUUUCCUAAUUUUAUUUUAAUAUACUUAAGUAGAGUAAGUAAAAUUUCAUUAGA